rnacentral:lncRNA from 1 species
GCCUCCAUCCUCCAUCUCUCGAGCACUUCUGCGGCCGCGCGCGGCACCGCCCACUCCUUCUCCACGCGCUCGGGCCUCCUCCGCCGCUCCGGUCGCGGCCGCGUGCCCCACUCCGGCCCCGCCGUCCGCAUCGCCGCGCCACCCCUGUCUGCUGGCAUCCCGCGUCACCGGAGCAAUUCCUCACACCACCUGCCAGAUCCCUCCCUCACCUUGCGCCCCUGCUCCUCCUUUUUCCUCUCUUUCCUCUUUCCCUCACGCCAUGUCUCUCUCUUUCAAUGGAGUAGCAGGACACCGCCGCCACCGGAGCAAGCCGCCGCACCACCCGCCGGAUCUCUCGAUGCCUCGGCCAGAUCCAUCUGUUUUCAUGUUUUUUCACUUUAAAAGGACCGCGUGUUGAAUAUAGGAAACCAUAGGGUUUGCCUUGCAAAAUCUGUAAACGAAACGUUAUUCAACUUAAAAACGUACUGCGGGUUGAAUAUCCAAGACAUCAGGGACUUUUUUGCAUAAAUACCAUGACGGACGACCAGAAAC